UGUCCCUGUGGUCCCAGUGGUCCCGGGGAUGUGUCCCGGUGGUCCCGGGGUGUGUCCCGGCGGUCCCGGGGGUGUGUCCCGCCCGGUGCCCGGGGCGGUCCGGCCGUGCCGCUGCCCGCGCUGUCCCCGCCCCGGCCCGGCCGGUGCCGCCCAUUUCCGCCGGGCGGAGCCGCCCCUCGGCCCCGCAGCGGCCCCGCCGCCAGCGCCCGCCCGGCCCGGCCCGGCCCCGGCCCCGCUCGCUCCGGUGCAGCCCCGCCAUGGCGGGCGGCCCGGCCGCGCUCGCCCUCGGUGUCCUGCUGGCCGCGUGCCACGCGCUGGACAACAGCACGGCCGGCCGGAGCGCCCCGGUGGCAGCGGCGGUGAGGUCGCACUUCAACGAGUGCCCGGACUCGCACCGGCAGUUCUGCUUCCACGGCACGUGCCGCUUCCUGGUGCAGGAGGAGAAACCCGCCUGCGUGUGUCACUUGGGGUACGUGGGGACACUCUGACCUGCUCUGUGUCCCUGUGUGUCCCCAGGUGU
rnacentral:lncRNA from 1 species